rnacentral:rRNA from 1 species
UGGCGGACGGGUGAGUAACGCGUGGGUAACCUGCCUCAUACAGGGGGAUAACAGUUAGAAAUGACUGCUAAUACCGCAUAAGACCACAGCACCGCAUGGUGCAGGGGUAAAAACUCCGGUGGUAUGAGAUGGACCCGCGUCUGAUUAGGUAGUUGGUGGGGUAACGGCUUACCAAGCCGACGGUCAGUAGCCGACCUGAGAGGGUGACCGGCCACAUUGGGACUGAGACACGGCCCAA